rnacentral:rRNA from 1 species
CGAUGCAACGCGAAGAACCUUACUACCCUUGACAUGUCCGGAACUUGCCAGAGAUGGCUUGGUGCCGAAAGGGAAUCGGAACACAGGUGCUGCAUGGCUGUCGUCAGCUCGUGUCGUGAGAGUGUUGGGUUAAGUCCCGCAACGGGCGCAACCCUUAUCAUUAGUUGCUACGCAAGGGCACUCUAAUGAGACUGCCGGUGACAAACCGGAGAAGUGGGGAUGACGUCAAGUCCUCAUGGCCCUUAUGGGUAGGGCUUCACACGUCAUACAAUGGUCGGUACAGAGGGUUGCCAAGCCGCGAGGCGGAGCCAAUCCCACAAAGCCGAUCGUAGUCCGGAUUGUUCUCUGCAACUCGAGAGCAUGAAGUCGGAAUCGCUAGUAAUCGCAGGUCAGCAUACUGCGGUGAAUACGUUCCCGGGUCUU